GACGAACGCUGGCGGCGUGGAUUAGGCAUGCAAGUCGAACGGUAUCAUCCUUUCGGGGGUGAGAGAGUGGCGAACUGGUGAGUAACACGUAGGUUAUCUACCCUCAAGACGGGGACAACCCAGGGAAACUUGGGCUAAUACCGGAUGUGAGCAACUUUUAGUUGUUUGAAAGGUGGCGUAAGCUGUCGCUUGGGGAUGAGCCUGCGUCCUAUUAGUUAGUUGGUGAGGUAACGGCUCACCUAGGCAAUGAUAGGUAGGCGGCCUUAACGGGUGGUCGCCCACACUGGGAUUGAGAUACGGCCCAGACUCCUACGGGAGGCAGCAGUCGAGAAUAGUCUACAAUGGUCGGAAGACUGAUAGUGCGACGCCGCGUGAACGAUGAAUCCCUUCGGGGUGUAAAGUUCUUUUAUAUGUGAGCAGUGCUUCUUAUAUUAACAGUAUGGGGAGAGAGAUAUUAGCAUAUGAAUAAGCAACGGCUAACUCCGUGCCCAAGCAGCCGCGGUAAU
rnacentral:rRNA from 1 species